rnacentral:rRNA from 1 species
GACGAACGCUGGCGGCGUGCUUAACACAUGCAAGUCGAACGGAAGGGCCCUGCUUUUGUGGGGUGCUCGAGUGGCGAACGGGUGAGUAACACGUGAGUAACCUGCCCUUGACUUUGGGAUAACUUCAGGAAACUGGGGCUAAUACCGGAUAGGAGCUCCUGCUGCAUGGUGGGGGUUGGAAAGUUUCGGCGGUUGGGGAUGGACUCGCGGCUUAUCAGCUAGUUGGUGGGGUAGUGGCUUACCAAGGCUUUGACGGGUAGCCGGCCUGAGAGGGUGACCGGCCACAUUGGGACUGAGAUACGGCCCAGACUCCUACGGGAGGCAGCAGUGGGGAAUAUUGCACAAUGGGCGGAAGCCUGAUGCAGCAACGCCGCGUGCGGGAUGACGGCCUUCGGGUUGUAAACCGCUUUCGCCUGUGACGAAGCGUGAGUGACGGUAAUGGGUAAAGAAGCACCGGCUAACUACGUG